rnacentral:snRNA from 1 species
CGAUCUGGCUGCGACAUCUGUCACCCCAUUGAUCGCCAGGGUUGAUUCGGCCAUCUAUCAGGGAUGUGGUUUUCCUGUUUCU